rnacentral:rRNA from 1 species
CCAAUCGAACUCGGAGAUAGCUGGUUCUCCCCGAAAUAGCUUUAGGGCUAGCCUCGUAUAAGAUUACCGGGGGUAGAGCACUGAAUGGGCUAGGGGGCCACAAAGCUUACCGAACCCUAUCAAACUACGAAUACCGGAUAAUUGGUGUACGGGAGUCAGACGGCGUGAGAUAAGUUUCGUCGUCGAGAGGGAAACAGCCCAGAUCUACGACUAAGGUCCCAAAAUCACAGUUAAGUGGAAAAGGAUGUGCAGUUGCACAAACAACCAGGAUGUUGGCUUAGAAGCAGCCACACAUUUAAAGAGUGCGUAAUAGCUCACUGGUCGAGUGAUUGUGCGCCGAAAAUGUACCGGGGCUAAACUGUGUACCGAAGUCUAGGGAUGUGGAGACACAUCGGUAGGGGAGCAACGUAUACGGGCAGAAGCCGAAGCGGAAGCGACGGUGGACUGUAUGGGAGAGAGAAUGCCGGCAUGAGUAGCGAGAGCAAAGUGAGAAUCUUUGCCGUCGAAAGCCUAAGGUUUCCUGAGGAAGGCUCGUCCACUCAGGGUAAGUCAGGACCUAAGCCGAGGACAGAAGUCGUAGGCGAUGGACAACUGGUUGAUAUUCCAGUACCACCUCAAGCGAUUGACAGAAGCAGUGACACAGAAGGAUAGACAGAGCACGGGGAUGGAAGGCCGUGUCCAAGCAGUGAGGCUGGUUGGUAGUGAAGUACGCCAACUAAGGCUGGGCUGUGAAGGGGACCGAAGAUCAGUAGGGAAGCUGUUGAAUUCACGCUGGCGAGAAAAGCUGCUAUGGAGCGAAGAGGUGCCUGUACCGCAAACCGACACAGGUAGGCGAGGAGAGAAUCCUAAGACGAGCGGGAGAACCCUUGUUAAGGAACUCGGCAAAAUGACCCCGUAACUUCGGGAGAAGGGGUGCCUCGAAAGAGGCCGCAGAGAAUAGUCACAAGCGACUGUUUAGCAAAAACACAGGUAUCUGCGAAAGCGAGAGCUGACGUAUAGGUGCUGACGCCUGCCCGGUGCUGGAAGGUUAAGGGGAAGUGUUAGGGGAAACCCGAAGCAGAGAACCGAAGCCCCAGUAAACGGCGGCCGUAACUAUAACGGUCCUAAGGUAGCGAAAUUCCUUGUCGGGUAAGUUCCGACCCGCACGAAUGGCGUAACGACUUGUGAGCUGUCUCAACAGGAGGCCCGGUGAAAUUGAAGUAUGUGUGAAGAUGCACAUUACCCGCGACUGGACGGAAAGACCCCGUAGAGCUUUACUGUAACCUGACAUUGGAUCUUGAUAACGGAUGCACAGGAUAGGUGGGACGCUGGGAGGUAUGGACUUUGGUCUGUACGGAGCGGACGUUGGGAUACCACUCUUCUGUUAUUGAGAUUCUAACCUCAAGCCGUAAGCCGGAUGAGAGACAGUGUCAGGCGGACAGUUUGACUGGGGCGGUCGCCUCCGAAAGAGUAACGGAGGCGCCCAAAGGUACCCUCAGAAUGGAUGGAAACCAUUCGAAGAGAGCAAAGUCAGAAGGGUGCUUGACUGCGAGACCAACAAGUCGAGCAGGUACGAAAGUAGGGCUUAGUGAUCCGGCGGUAAGAGAGUGGAAUUGCCGUCGCUCAACGGAUAAAAGCUACCUCGGGGAUAACAGGCUGAUCUCCCCCAAGAGUUCACAUCGACGGGGAGGUUUGGCACCUCGAUGUCGGCUCGUCGCAUCCUGGGGCUGAAGCAGGUCCCAAGGGUUUGGCUGUUCGCCAAUUAAAGCGGCACGCGAGCUGGGUUCAGAACGUCGUGAGACAGUUCGGUCCCUAUC